GAAAUGCGAUAAGCAAUGCGAAUUGCAGAAUUCCGCGAGUCAUCAGAUCUUUGAACGCAGCCCGCGCUGGGGAGAUAUCUCCUCAGCAUGUUUGUUUCAGUGUGUUUGGUUGACUUCAAAGAGCUCAAUGCGAUUGAACUUCGUAAAAAAGAAGGUCUCUCGUGAAAAGCGAAGGCGUGGGACUCUGCCUCGCCAACGAUGUGGUCACUGUUCUACAGUGAAUUCGUUGGGCUCAUCGGAGCACUGUCAUUUAUGUACGUCUUAAUCAAUCAAAAUCUUCAAUCUGCACCUGAAAUCAAGCAAGAACACCCGCUGAACUUAA
rnacentral:misc_RNA from 1 species